UAGAGUCAGUGGGCUUUGCCCGCUAUCUCUUACCCAUGUUUUUUGAGCACUUACGUUUCCUCGGUGGGUUCGCCCGCCGAUUGGACCACUUAAACCCAUUGCAGUUUUGUAAUCAGCGUCUGAAAAACUUAAUAGUUACAACUUUCAACAACGGAUCUCUUGGUUCU
rnacentral:misc_RNA from 1 species